rnacentral:rRNA from 1 species
GCCUACCAUGGUGGUAACGGGUAACGGGGUGUUAGGGCACGACACCGGAGAGGGAGCCUGAGAAACGGCUACCACAUCCAAGGAUGGCAGCAGGCGCGCAAAUUACCCAAUCCCGACACGGGGAGGUAGUGACAAUAAAUAACAAUACGGGGUUCUUUCGGAUUUCGUAAUUGGAAUGAGUACAAUUUAGAUCUCUUAACGAGGAACAAUUGGAGGGCAAGUCUGGUGCCAGCAGCCGCGGUAAUUCCAGCUCCAAUAGCGUAUAUUAAAGUUGCUGCAGUUAAAAAGCUCGUAGUUGAAUUUCGGGACCAAUAUGUCGGUCGUGCCUCGGUACGUACUGGCAUCGUUGGUUUCUCCCUUCUGACGAACCAUGAUGUCAUUCAUUUGGUGUCGUGGGGAAUCAGGACUGUUACUUUGAAAAAAUUAGAGUGUUUAAAGCAGGCUCACGCUUGAAUACAUUAGCAUGGAAUAAUGAAAUAGGACGUUUGAUUCUAUUUUGUUGGUUUCUAGGAUCGACGUAAUGAUUAAUAGGGAUAGUUGGGGGCAUUAGUAUUCAAUUGUCAGAGGUGAAAUUCUUGGAUUUAUUGAAGACUAACUACUGCGAAAGCAUUUGCCAAGGAUGUUUUCAUUAAUCAAGAACGAAAGUUAGGGGAUCGAAGACGAUCAGAUACCGUCGUAGUCUUAACCAUAAACUAUGCCGACUAGGGAUCGGAUGAUGUUAAUUUUUUAAUGACUCAUUCGGCGCCUUACGGGAAACA